rnacentral:lncRNA from 1 species
CCAAUAAGUUGGGCCAAGUAAGAACAGUGAAUACAUGGUGAUUACACGUUGGUGGAGUUAUCAGUCUGCAUUAACCUUUCUUAGUGGAUAAACAAAAAACAAACUCUGAUUAUGGAUAUGGAUGUGGAGACUGUAGCAGCUGCCGCAAUUAAUUUGUACAAUGCGUUCAAUGCUUAUAGAAAAGUGUACCAAACAAGAGUGAUUAAAAAACAAUGGCGCAAACGACGGUGCUUUUACACCGAAAAAAGUAUUCAUAUUAAAACACAACCUUAAAAUUAAUACUUAUAAACAGUAUCAGUAUUGUGAGAAGAGAAAACAAAUAUUUUAAACUCAACGACAACAACGUGUUCAAUGUUCAUAACCAAACAGCUGUUUGGCAGAUCGCGCAAGUCCCAAAAAUCCUUUGAUUUGUGCACCAAAUACCGACAAGAUUCGGUUUGUAGACCCAUAGAGAAAUAACAACAAUAACUUGUUGUUAUUUCUCUAUGUGUAGACCAACGCUGACCGCCAAUCGCAAACUCAUGCCAAGUGGUCCUGUACACGUUGGCCCAACUCCUUGGCCCAACGUGUACUAGCCCCAUAUGGCUAAAAAGGCUAAAAACAAUAUUUGAGUCUAGGCAGUAAGUUUCGUCGAGGACUCAAAAUAAAAUCCAAAAUGCAGAAUUGAUUAUAUUAACAACAAAGAAAUUUUGGAAGUAUUAUUAAACAACGCCCCCAACAUGGAUAACAGUGGAAUAGUAUUUUAUCCCAUUAUAAAUUCCAUUCAGAGAAUGGCUC